rnacentral:rRNA from 1 species
AACCCGACUACAUGAAGCUGGAAUCGCUAGUAAUCGCGAAUCAGCAUGUCGCGGUGAAUACGUUCCCGGGUCUUGUACACACCGCCCGUCACACCAUGGGAGUUGGAAAUGCCCGAAGUCAGUGACCCAACCGAAAGGAGGGAGCUGCCGAAGGCAGGUUCGAUAACUGGGGUGAAGUCGUAACAAGGUAUC